UUUAUCAUCGCGAAGGAGAAUUUUUAUUCUUUUUCGUAGACGUAUUGCAUAAGUUUAUGAAGUUUAUUUUGACUGUUAAAUUAUUAAUGUUUAUUUUUAUUAUGGUAUGUAAUUGCAUAAUAUGAGAGAGUGUGGAACACUGGUAUUUUAAAAAAUAUGGUUAUGUUUUACACUCGGAAUUUCGUCGUGUUAAGUCCUUAUCUCGGGGGAACACAAAGGCAAUGAACUUAUGUGAGCCUUUGUUGUGCUACGCCCAGAUAAUUAUUAGGCAUCUUAGUUUACUAAGUUGCAAUUUUUGUAGUCUCUUUACUUUACAAGGGACACAAAGUUAUCGAUGUGAGAACGAUUUUAGUUAAUCUAAGUGUGAUAUUCAUCAAGUACUGAUAUCUACAAAUGGGGUUUUAAAGACCAUUCAUUUCAUUCAUUACUUUUGUUUUCAGAUUUGUUAAGAAACAUCCGCACUCAAGUCCUUAUAAAACUGAUUAAGCCGUACACAAGAAUUCAUAUUCCAUUCAUUUCAAAUGAGCUGAACAUUGAUGCAACAGAUGUGGAGGCACUCUUGGUACAGUGUAUUUUAGAUAAUACUAUUGAUGGACGGAUAGAUCAGGUGAAUCAGGUUCUGGAGCUAACAAGGGGUGCUGAAGGAGCAGCACGUUACACUGCUCUUGACAGAUGGACGAACCAGCUUCAAUAUCUACAGUCUGUUAUUGUGACAAAGAUGAAUUAAUUGCCCUGACCCAGUGAAAUAUGAACAGUCUCCACUAACUUGAAAGUGUAUGGGAAUUUGCAAGAUUACUUUGUUUCUCCUUUUUCAGAUCUUGAGAGAACACUUUUUGGUGUAUGUUGCUUUGUGUAAAUUAAAUUUCUUCUCUACCCUUUUAUCAGCUACAGUUCUUGAAGUUGUUAUAAACAUAGGAUAAUCGUUUUGAAAAAAGUUUGAAUUUUGUUAGCUUGAUAAAUUUUUUGCCGAAAGCCUUCUUUGCUUGGGAAAUAUAGGUCCUGGUUAAAUGAGCAGUGAUUUGAUUGCAGAGCCUGCAGAUGACCAACUGACUACCCAGCUGGCCAGGAAUUAAGUCAAAAAUACUUUUAUUCAUAAAGAUUAAAUGUAAAUUUUGAAACCAAUACUUUUCAGCUACUAAUUGGAAGGUGGGGUAAAUUGAAAUCUGCAAAAUAAAUUGGUGAAAUAUUUUUUGGUAUUUUAUGUAAGGGCUGCUGCUCAGAGGAAUCGGUAAUAAAUUCCAAAGGAAUCGGUAAUAAAUUCCACAUAUGAACACAUUUUUUACAUUACAAAGUUUGUUCAUAAAAAAUGCUGAUUAAAUUUUGGCUUCAGUUGUGAAGCCACAAUUUGUUGCUAAAACCAAUAAAGAUAGUAACAUUUA